CUGGGGUUCUCUCAUCACCUAGAUGGGAAAAGAAAAAAUUCCAAGGGCAAUAACCUGGGUUUCAUUUCUUGAUUCUCAACUAGCUGCUGCUUUAACUGCUUUCUCUGCAGCAUCAUCCAAGUCUUCCGCUGUGAUUAGCUCCAUUCCACUUUCCUUGAGUAUUCUCUUUCCUAGGUCAACAUUAGUGCCUUCUAGACGAACCACCACAGGUACUUUUAGUGCAACCUGUUUGGCUGCAUUAACAAU
rnacentral:misc_RNA from 1 species